UUUUUUUUCAAGAUUAUAGCUAAAGGAAUAUUUUAGGAAUAUAUUACUAUAUCACUUGAUAGAGAGCAGUCCAAUGUUAUUUCAUGUUGCUCUAACAUGGAUUAAAAACAUACUACUAGUUAUGACUUAACUGAUUGAACAACUAGUAUGUUAAAGAAAGGAUUUAAAGUGUAUUUAUACAAACAUAAAAUCUACGAUAAAUGGCUUGCUUUAUUAGAAAAUGGAAUACUCUGUGGGGGUUAUAAGAAAG
rnacentral:lncRNA from 1 species